GCGUGCAAUGAAAAACAAUAAUACAACUCUUAGCGGUGGAUCACUCGGCUUGAAUC
rnacentral:rRNA from 1 species